UCCGGGUAGGAGUGAAAUCCUGUAAUCCGGACGGACCGCUGUGGCGAAAGCGCCUCGGGAAGACGGAUCCGACGGUGAGGGACGAAAGCCAGGGUCUCGAACCGGAUUAGAUACCCGGGUAGUCCUGCCCGUAAACGAUGCCCGCUAGGUGUGACGCAGGCUACGAGCCUGCGUUGUGCCGUAGGGAAGCCGUGAAGCGGGCCGCCUGGGAAGUACGUCUGCAAGGAUGAAACUUAAAGGAAUUGGCGGGGGAGCACUACAACCGGAGGAGCCUGCGGUUUAAUUGGACUCAACGCCGGACAUCUCACCGGCCCCGACAGCAGUAAUGACGGUCAGGUUGAUGAUCUUACCCGAGCUGCUGANAGGAGGUGCAUGGCCGCCGUCAGCUCGUACCGUGAGGCGUCCUGUUAAGUCAGGCAACGAGCGAGACCCGCACCUCUAGUUGCCAGCAGCAUCCACGUGAUGGCUGGGUACACUAGGGGGACUGCCGCUGCUAAAGCGGAGGAAGGAACGGACAACGGUAGGUCAGUAUGCCCCGAAUGGGCCGGGCAACACGCGGGCUACAAUGGCCGGGACAGUGGGAUGCAACCCCGAAAGGGAACGCUAAUCUCCUAAACCCGGCUCGUAGUUCGGAUUGAGGGCUGAAACCCGCCCUCAUGAAGCUGGAUUCGGUAGUAGUCGCGUGUCAGCAGCGCAGGCG
rnacentral:rRNA from 1 species